CCCUCUCCUCUUUCUUUCGCUCAACGUCAUAAGAAGACUGCAAAGAAGAAGGAGAUGACGUCGAUAUAGAAUCGAGUCAAAAGCUAUUGCAAUCUUCAAUUGAAUCUCGCAGCAUCAACUUGUCUUAAACCAGGAGG